GUGGAGUUGUGGGGUGCAGAGUCUGCCCACUGCUCCUCCAUAUCUCAGCUGCAGCAUCUGUGCUGGAGAUGCAUGACAGUGCCCAGCCUCCCUAUUCUCUUCCUGGCCCAGGAGUGGCAGGGGUGGAGACAGUGGCACUGGUGACUGCAAAGCGCCUCUCAGUGACUUCCGGGAGUUGGGUUCUCAGAGGAACACUGGGCCAUGGCUGCAGUGUUCAGAGGUGCCUACUACCUGGUUCUAGUCAGUCAUCUUAAACUGGAACCUCACUCUGUGCCUUUUAAUUGGAGAAUGAAUUCACUUAUAUUCAAGGUAAGGAUCGAUAGCUAAGGACUUAUUACUGCCAUCUUAUUAAUGAUUUUCUGGUUGUUUUGUAGAUCCUGUGUUACUUUCUUUUCCUCUUGCUGCUCUCCUUUGUGAUUAGGUGAUUUUCUCUAGUGAUAUUCUUUGAUUUCUUUUCAUCUUUUGCGUAUCUACUGUAAGUUUUUGCUUUGUGGUUACCAUGAAGCUUACACAAGGCAGCCUAU
rnacentral:lncRNA from 10 species